rnacentral:lncRNA from 1 species
AGCAGACGAACCGACGUAGUCGAACGGGUCCUCACAUCCGACACGCUUGCGGAACUCUAACGAGACGAAGCAAACCGGAAACACAAAUCAACACACGAUAUUCACCACACGAUGCACAACACAUAUGAUGCAUGAGCAGCUGAAUACAUGCAAGACACGGCAUGACACUUCACACAAUCAAACACUACACAUUAAGUGAAGUUCAAUAUGCAACGGGUUGCAUAUUGACGAAACUCUACAUAUGAAUUAUUUAGUUCACUCCCGGUUAUUUACACGGCAAUAUUAAAAGGUUGUUAACAUGGCAAGGGGGUGAAGCACAAAUAUAACUACCUAUCUAUGCAAUUUAAAUGAGGCCGGAAACAACUUAUAGCAUCUCCGAAAUGUCCCCACGCGUUAAAUUCUAAUUCUGUCCAGAUUUGUCCUAAUCACAUUUUAAGUUUGUUAAACAGCAAAACAAAGUGGUUCACGUGAUUCUACGUGUCAAGACAAGCAAUCUACACAUAGAGAUCAUCUCCAACGGAGCUACGGGCAAAUAGUUACGACCUAAACCGUUUUUAUCACGUCGACACGCAAACCGAAGCAAGCAGCACCCUAAACAGCCUUUGACAUGCAUGAGAGUUGGACAUUGUUGAUCUACGCGAUCCUAGGCAAGUUACUUAUUUAUAUCACUCCGAUCCGAUGCACGGUUUGAAAUCUACGGGGGUUUGAAAACAAUAUGCAAUUUUCUGCACUGCGGACGAAUCGUGACAAGACAUGGGUUCUACACUCUAUGAGAUAUACCUUGCGCAACCUGUCGAAACUGAACUCCAAAGACACAACCUGCUGCUGCCAAGGCGGGGCUGCAGUUGCUCGCGUCAGCGGGAUGGCGUAUGGCUUCAGUGGGGCGUCGACGGGGGAUGGAACCGGGGGGCGAGGUACUGCAUGGGAGCCGUCCUUGGCGCCCGCGAGGCAGCCUGUAGAUCCGGUGGCCGACGGCAAGAGGCCGGACCUGGCGCGCUCUGGAGCCUGUGGUGGCCAUGGCGUGCUGCUACUGUAAACAGAGAACAAAAAGGAGGAAGAGAGAGAUUUGAGAGAGGGAAUAUGUGAAACCGAAGGAGGAAGGAGAGUAGGAAGGAGAGGGGAACGGGAGAGGUUCUGGCCUGGGAGGACGGGCUCGGUCGUGGCGGGCUGCUGCUUGGAGACAACGGCAUCUGAAGAUGCACUGCGGCAAGCUUCUGGCUGCGCGGUGCAGGCAAGGCGCGGGAGAACGAACACGGGGACGGGGGGAUGCUGGUCUGCGGGGCGAGCUCCUGUGGAUCGAGGCUACUGGCGGCGCUGGAUGGAUCGGGCGACGGGACCGAGGGCUUCCUCGAUCUGGCUGCUGCGGGCGCUGGGGAUCUGGUUGUCUGAUUGGCGAGGAGGUAAAAAAACGAGGAAGAGACCAGGUGAUGUGCGGCGGCAGCAGUUGGGACUGAUUGGUCUAGGGUUUGCCUGCUUAAAUAAAUAGGUGGGUUUGGAUAGGGUUGACUGGACCCUCCGAUAUAAAUCGGACGGUCGAGAAUGAAUAGGCUAGGGAGUCCAAUGGACAAACCGAUGACUGUUUGCGGUAAAACGGGGUGGAUCCGGACCCAACGGUCACGACUAUAUGAUUCAGGUUCCGGGAGGUUUUCGGACUAGGCCGCGCAUAGGGUUGGUGCACUGUGCAGAGGGGCUAGGCGGGAUGAGAGGAAAAACGGGCGGCGCGGCAACGCGAUUUAAAACACCGGGACACGUGCGACGAAUAACCGAAGACGGUGCCGCUACGAACGACCGUUCGGGUACGAGACGGACUCCGAUUGCGACGAAACUUGACAGGCGGCCUACGUAUAAUAAAAUACGACCGCACGUCAAAUCUCAACCCAAUCAGAGAAGGUUUUACGCACACUUUUAAAACAGGGUUUUGACGGUGCCGCGGGCGCGUGCGAGUGCGGUCGGACUCAGAACGGACAACGACGAGAACCGGCAACUACUAACGAAUGCAAGUUUUGAAAACUGGCGGCAACGGAGAUGUCGAUGCAAUGCUGAUGAUGCGCAUGAUGCGAUGAUGAUGCGACAAAAUAAAACAGACACACGACGAAAACGGAAAGGAAAGGGAAUCUUCUGGAACGUCGGCAUCGGCCUGUCACAAGUUAGAUGUACAAGUAUCAUCAACAAUAUGAGAGGAGUAAGUAGCAGUUAGAGACUUCUCAUGAGUAGAUUGAAGCUCCUCAUAGAUCUUAGAGGUUUUGAUGAGCUCUCCCUUGACACUAUUGCAUUCAAGGAGAAGGACCUCAAAAUCCUUUUUAAGUUUAUCAUGAGCAACUUCAAUCUUUUCUUUUGAAAAUCUUAAGUCUCUACAUGCUUGAUGACUCUUCUCAAGUUCAUGUUCAAGUUUUUCACUUUUAGCUUGUUCAUGAUUAAGUGAAUCAUUAGAAUUUUUAAAGUAAGCAAGAACAUCUUGGAAUCUUUGAAGAGCGUUAUUUUUAGCUUUAUGAAGAAUUUUACUGAUCACAUAGAUAUUUUCAGUGAAGUCAUCAUCAUCAUCCUUAUCGCAAAUAUCAUCGUUAUUGCACAGGGAAGAUGAUACCUCAUUAUUACCUCUUGCCAUGAGGCACAUGUGAACUGGAGAAGUUGAUGAUGAUUCUUUUGGUGACUCAGAUUCUUCAUUAGUCAAAAGUACUUCAUAUUUCUUGAUUUCCCCUGAAUGAUUAGUCAUAGAGCAACUAGGGAGAAACAAGAUAUUUUGAUCAAGAGGACACGGGAUAGCAGGCAUAUCACCACAGACAUUUGUCGAGGGAUCUUUAGGUGAAAUGCAUGACCUAUCAGCACAAUAAUUUACACUAUGUGUGGUGCUAGAUAUGCUCGUGUCCAUAUAGGCUAUGACAUUUUCAUCAACAUAUAUUUCUUCACUCACCAUGUCAUUACCUUGUGAGAUUGAAGAUGCUGAGGUGUGCAAGCAAUCGGAUAUGGGAGUAGUGGUGGACUCUUUAUGAUCGAAAAGAGUGAAAAGCUCAUGCACCAACUCCUUCAUCGUAAUAUCGUCUUCAUCAAGAUUGGACCCACCAUAUAAAUCUUCAAGUAUAGUCCAAACUUCAUGAGCUGUCUUGCAAGUUGAGAUAGACUUAAACACCUCGGGACUUAUGGUUCGAUGAAUGGCAAGAAAAGCCUCACAAUCAAGAUACAUUUCAUUAGUAGAUGAAGAUGCAUCAUCCUUUUUGUCGGCAAUCCCUACAAGAACAAUUCAUAAAGUAUUUGGGCCCAUGGUCCAAAAGUGAUGAAGCAUACGAAUUCUCCAUAGGGUAUAAUUUGUGCCAUCAAAGUCAAAGGUGUCAUUGUACACUAAUCCAAUAGUCGACAUCGAUACUCUCUAGGUCGUGAAACCUAAUUAAAGAGAGACCUUGCUGUGAUACCAAUUGAAAAGACCACGAUGUCGCCUAGAGGGGGGUGAAUAGGCUAUUUAAAAACUUCUUCGGAUUUGGCUUAAACCUAAUGCGGAAAUAAACUAAGAGGAUACUUUUAAGGCACAAAUCCUAAAUGCAAUAGGCACCGCAACGUGUAUCAACAACACGAUCUACCAAGAUGGACACAAUACAGUUACUAACAAGCACAAGCAAGUUACACAAACUUACUUGAGCUAUAUCACACGACAAGUAGGUGAACGACACAAGAUACUAGAUCACACUAUAACACACGAUAUAUCAGAAGCUGCAAGUGUGAACGUGUGGAUAUAGAGGGUAUGCUUGAACGAUUAAUCUUGUACGAAGAAAUAGCCAACACAAUAUAAUAAGCACAAACAAUAUGCAAUGUAUGUAUGCUCAAGUAACACAAGUAAACCACACGUAAGGAGUUAGGGUUAAGGAUAACCAAGGUCACUGAGACGAAGAUGUAUCCCGAUGUUCACUUCCUUGGAGGGAAGCUAGUCACCGUUAGAGAGGUGGAUGUUACCACGAAGGCACACCAACGCCACGAAGGCUCACCCUAUUCUCCCUUUGAGAUAACACCACGAAGGCGUUUCUCAACCACUAGUGGUCAGCCUUUGAGGUGGCUUCCAAACCCUCACAAACUUUUCCGGCGGUAAUCACACGGAUUGAUUCCUCUCCGAAGAACUCCUACCGCCUAGGAGUCUCCAACCUCCAAGAGUAACGAGAUCACGGGGAAUGCUCAAAACUUGCUCAAAUCUCAAAUAGCUUGGGUUGAGAGAAGGAGAGGGAGACGAUCUAUCUUUUGAUUGGAACAACUCUCAAAGGGGCUCACAAAUGCUCUUGGGAUCUAAGAUUUGGUGUGAGCAAAUGUGUGUGGGGUAGAAAUGUGUUCUUACGAGGAUAUGGCUGUGUUGGGCACCCUCUCACGAAGUGGGAGGGGGGUAUUUAUAGUGGAGAAGGGAAAGUGACCAUGGGGGUCACUUAAGUCUGACAGUGGUCGGACGUCCGGCAGUUCUCGGAUGUCCGGACGCCCACAAGGGGUCGGACGUCCGACAGGGGUCGGUCGUCCGAGGGAUGUACAUAUAUCAGGAACCACUGUGAAGUCGAACAGGGACCGGAUGUCCGGAGGAAGCCGGGUGUCUGAGACUUUGGCUCUGUUCAAGGGCACCGGAUUUCCGAAGGAGGUCGGACGUUCGGCCCUCGGACGACCGGAGGAGGCCGGAAGUCCAUGUUAUUUGACUCAAAUUUCUCUGGUGCAAGAUUCCAGAUUUCCGAAGGAGGUCGGGCGUCCGGCCAUCGGACGACCGGAGGAGGCCGGAAGUUCGUGUUAUUUGACUCAAAUUUCUCUGGUGCAAGAUUCCGGAUUUCCGAAGUGGUCGGGCGUUCGUCCCUCGGACGUCCGGAGGAAGCCGGAUGUCUGAGGCAUUGGUUCUGUUUUCAGAUAACAGCAGAGAAGUGGAGAUGUGGUAUGAGCAAAAAAGUAGAGAUGUAGUUUGAGCAAGUUCAUCGCAAAACCUGUGAUCCCCUCUUAAUAGUGCGGGAUCCCUAAAGACUCAAGAAUCAUAAAAGGGUACCGAUGAUCCAUACUUGAGUGUAUACAUAUAUUCGCUGAUCAUCACUCCGCACCACUAACGUCAAAGGAACUGAUACCUUUGAGUUAGCCCUUUCACUUGAGCUUGAUGUUGUUGUUCCUUUUUGGCUCAAGUUGAAAGCAAGACAUGAUGAAGUCUUCAAGUAGUUCUCCCAUACACAAUGUGGAAAGCCUAGCUUAUGUAUUCAUCUUCAUUUGUCCACCAUGUGAACAUCCACAAGAAUCAAGCAUGUAGUGCUCAGGAAUGCUUAUCUUGAUCUUGUCCUUGUUAGCACAUGAGCUUGUCCUUAUCAACACAUGAUCAUUAACAAUAGUUUAAGGGGGAUUAGUGAUUAAUUAUCUAUAUGUGUGUUGUCAGCAACACCAAAACACGAUUAAGGGCAUGACUGCACUUUCAAGUUCAAAUUGUCCACUUUUAUUCCCUAAAAGUCUCUCAUGUUUGAUUUAGAUGGGACUAAAAGGGACUUUUUUAGUCCCUACAUCAAAAAGUCCCUGUAAACAAACACCCCCUAUGUUGCAUAUGGUAACCCCUUAACUUAUGUUCCUUCAAUGGCUUCUACAUCUCCUUGCUAGCGGCAAGUGGCUAUCGUGGUCUGCAAAGUUUUAUAUGUUGAAGGUGUUUGCGGGUGUUUAUUGCUUGUUCAAUGUCUUUUUAAAGUUCCCGUGUAUGGCAUGCAAUUGGAGAAAGAAAACAACCAAUAUGAUUUUUGAUGUAAUUUUUAUUUUUCAUUUUCCAUUUAUUAUUUUUCUUUGAUGUUUUUCAAAACAAUAGUAUCACUACCAAGAUCAUCAAUGGUGCUGAAACGUCGUCAAUCGGGCCAGACUACAAUCGGGCCAGACUAAAAGAGCACCCAUGACGAUCUCUCCAAUAGUACAAAAUAUUUUUCUCAUGUUCUUAACACUAACUAUGUAACAAGUUAAUGCUAUUUUAAAACUAUUUGACGAGAAUGUGAUGAUGCUUAGAUCAAAAUAAUAUUUUUUUCAUAAAUUUUGGAUUAUGGCACGUCCAACGUUGAGUUUCUUGGUCCGUUACGGCAAUCUGUUGAUGUAAACUAGGGUGUACGCGUACGUAAUAAGGCUAAUAUACACAUCCACGUGUACUCACUUGGGAUGCAUACGGAAGGAGCCAAUGCAUGAAGUGCCUCCCUAAAUGGGCCAGACCCAUGAAUACAUAAGCAUGUCAUACGCUACACGCGUAAGCAUGUGCACAACGUAUUAUUUUAUUUCAUUUUUACUUUCUGAAAUUUAUGAAAAAUAGGUUAGGAAACUUUAAGAAGAUUGUUCAUAAUUUAUCUAAAAAGUGGUUUUAAACUAUGCUUAUUGCAUAUUUUAGAGAUGUUUAUUGUGUUUUAAAAAAAUCUUUAUCAUGUAUUACAAAUAUGUUCACGUGGUUUAUAUUAACGACAAUCAUGUGUUGAAAAUUCAUGAAUACUUAAAAAAAUUCAUUAUGUAUUAAAAAUAACCGCACGCCUGAAUAUGUUAACAACAUUUACAAAAUAUUCACAGGUUCAGAAAAUGUUCAUGAGAAUAUUAAAACAUUGUUCAUGUAAUUUGUAAAAAGUGAUGGUACCACUAAAAAUAUUAUUCAUGGUAUUUUAAAAUAUUUAUGUGUUUAGAAAUAUGUCUAGCAAUAUUUUUAAAAUUGGUCAUAAUUUUUCUUAAUUUUGUUUGCAAUUUUAGCAAUAUAUUUGUAACACAUAAAAAAUUAUGCUAUUUAUAAAAUAUGAUCAAGUAACACAUGACAAUCUUAUCCAACUCAUUGGCACUCUUUGGGCUAUAUGGUAUGCUAGCUGGCAAGCUCUCCACGAGCAAAUCUUUCAAAGUAUGCAUGCCGCCCAUGGCUUCAUAUCACGGAAUAUAUAAAAUAACUAGAUGAAUGCAAGCCAAGGAAAGCUCAUGAGACAGUUCCUCCUACAACAAGACAAUAGCAAACAAGAUGGAUCCUGCUGGUGCAAGGAGUCGUCAAGAUCAAAGUAAAUGGUUGGGUGUUGCGUGAGUGAAAUGAGGAAGCCUACGUCGUUGUAUGUAUAGAUUUCGAGGGCACCAAUCUAGGAGCCUCAUCUAUCAUGUGCUCCGACACUACGAAUCCAUGACUCUUGAAGCGCUUGCUUGUCGAGAGGCUCUAGCCCUUGCUUUAGACCUUCCUAUGACGAAAUUGCAUCAGAUUGUCAAGGUAUAGUGUCAAUGACAUCAAGCAAACUACAAGCGUCAUCAGGGAGAUUAAAGCUACUAUGAGCUAGUUUCAGCAUUGCACUUUCAUUUUUGAAGGACAAGAAACAAAUUUCAAGGCACACAACCAUGGUAGACAUACUUUUGGUUUGAAGCUAGGCCGCCAUCUAUGGUUACGUAGCAACCCCCCCCCCCUCCCGACCAUUCUUGUCUUACCAUGAACAUUAUAGAGCAAGCUCAAACAAAUGAACAUUAUAGAGCAAAAGUAUAAAGUGUGUUUCGACUUAAACAAGUGACCCGUACUAAGUCCGUUUAUGGAGCCUUAUAAGUACCUCAUGUGUGGCACCAGCACAUGGCAACUCCAAACAUUUUGUAUGACAAACUCAGUGGCGCAACUAUCGCAAUUUUAGUUGUCACGCAUGACAACUUUACUGAUGCGGGUAUGUCAAAUUUUGUUCUCAAGCAUGGCAAAAUUUGUGAUUCAGAUUAUUUUUGACAGAAACUUGUUGUGUGUCACUGGAAUUUACCAUCUUCCAUGACUGUAAUUGUCAUAGAAAAAACGUCAGGGGCCGAACAAAAAUGCUACACCUACAUGAACAGACUACAUAAAGCUAUGUUUCUAUCCUUCCUAAGGGCAUCUCCAACGGUAACCAGCAUUUUUUCUCACAUCCCCAGUCCAGGGACACGGAGGUGGGAGAACACCAUCUAACAGUAGCCACAUACAUUUCGAACCCUUUUUUAACAAACCGGAUAAAAUCAAACACGAUCGAAUUUUAUGCAAACAUGAUGGAUAUCAUACAAACGCGACGGAUUUUAAUACAUUUCGAACAUGUAGAACAAAAAAAGACGCACCCCUAAACUUGUCAUAUAGCAGUGACGCCUCGCGUCCGAGCCCGUUUUGUCCUCCAUCCGCCAUCUCCAUGAGCACCGCCGAUAAGAACGAUGAAGUGAAGGUGCAGUCUACGACGAGGAAGAGCAGAACACUGGUGACGGACCGGCCCAUGUGGGACACAAGGCACCAUCGCCUAUUGUGGCCUAGGGAAUCCCUAUUUGACGCUCUUUGCAUUAAAUUAUCAGGGCUUUGCAUAGGCGAAGCGAAUUGGCGACGUGAUCUGGGCUGGCCACAUUUUUUAAAAAAUAUUUGUUUUUCCAAAUUGUUCAUAACUUCAAAAUAUGAUCUUGUUUUUCAUAUAUAUAUUUUUUAAAUGUUCUUUUUUUUGCUUUCCUAUUUUUUUGUUUGACAUUUUCAAAUUUUUGUUCUGAAUUUCAAAAAAUGUACUCGUGUUCAAAUUUUGUUCACAUUUUUUAUUUAAAUGUUCGUGCUUCAAAAAUUAAUCAGGAGUUACAAAAAAUGUUUUUGCUUUCAAAAUGUGAUCUUAUUUAAAAAAUGUUUGUGUUUCGAAAAUUGUUCUCGUAUUAAAAAAAAUAGCACGAUUUUUCAAAAAUGUCCAUGUUCUGAAACAAAAUCAGGGAUUUAUGGAAAUGUUCUUGUUUAAAAAAUAAUCAUGAUUUCAUAAAAAUAUUUGCGUUUCUAAUUUUGUUUUCCAUUUCAAAAAAAUCAUUAUUUUCAUAAAAUGUUCAUCUUUACAAAAAUAGUCUCAUUCUCAAAAUUUCCUCAAGAUUUUCAUAAAAAUGUUAUGCUUGAAAAAGUGUCCAGGAAUUUAAAAACAAAAUCACUUUUUUUCACAAUUUGAGAGAAAUGUUCUUGUUUCGAAAAUGUCAAUGAAUUAAAAAAAAUGUUCGCAUUUUAAACAUUUUUUUGGAAAUUUCAAAAAGCUUAGCCACAUAUCAAAAUUUGUGUACUUUUACGAAUAAUGUUUAUAAAAUUUCAAAAUCUGACCAAAUUAUAAAUUUUGCUAUGAUAAUUAAAAAACUCCGAAACAAAAUUUGUAAACAGGAAUAUUCUUUGAAAUUUCUGAAGAAAAUUUGAAACACGCAUAUUGUUUUUUAAAAUUGCGACCAAUUGUUGAAAUAAAAACACUAUGUAAAACUCCAAAAAAAUUGAAAACACGAACAUUUUUCAAAAUCUUUGAAUAUGUGAAUAAAAAAUAAUAAUAGGAACAUUUUUUUAGCUUUUACUUUUUCUAAAUUUUUUUAAAUUGAAAUUCUGAAGAACAAGAAAGUGAUUUUUUUUUUGAAAAUAAAUAGAAGAUGAAAUAUAUAAAAAACGAAAAAACAUUCAGAAAAAGGAUAUGCUUAUUGAUUUUGCAAUUGAGAAAGUGAAAGGGCUUAUUUCUUUCUUCAGGGGUACAUACAAGCUGGUUUCUUAGAUGAAUUGGAGAUAGCCAAAGAAAUUACACUUGAGAUGGAUAUUGAUGCAACAUUUCGUAAAAGGAGAGAAAUUAAUAGAAAAAAACAAUUUGAUGAGAAUCCAAACGACACAAAUAUUACCACACAGUCUGCAGAAGAACCAUUUAGAAUCAACUAUUUUAUAUGUGUUGUUGAUCAAGCAAUUUCCUCAAUCACAAGGAGAUUUGAGCAAUGUGAAGGUUACCAAAAAAUAUUUGGUUUCUUAUUUGCUUUUGAAACAUUGCGUUCAUUGGAUAAGGAUAGUUCGAAAUCUUCUUGUGUUGAUCUUGAGGCUGCCCUUAUGAAGGUUAAAUAAUCUGAUAUUGAUGCCAAUGAUCUAUUUGUUGAGUUAAAGUUUCUUCAAAAUUUUAUGCGAAAAGAAAAUAUCGGACCCGUUGAAAUUUUGAAUUUUCUAAAGCGGCAUAAUUAUUUUCCCAAUGCAUGUAUUGCAUAUACAGUUUUGCUGAUCAUUCCUGUGACAGUGGCAUUGACAGAAAGAAGUUUGACUAAACUAAAGCUAUUGAAGUCCUAUAUACGUAAUACUAUAACACAUCAAAGACUCAAUGAUUUGGCCACGAUAGCACUUGAGAGUGAAGUGUUGGAGAAGAUUGAUUACGGGGAUAUCAUUGAAGAUUUUCAUUUCAGAGAAUACUAAAUGAAUAAGGAUGUUCAAACAAAUAGCAAUCGGAAGUUUGAUAGGUAUGAAUUUUUUAUAUGUCCAAUUGUUAUGCAAGACAAUAUAUUAUAUAUGCUAUAACUUUUUUCUACGAGAUAUAUAUACAUUAUAAUUACUUGUUAGUUUUUUUUGUGAGAUAGGGCUUCAUUUUAAGUUUUGCAUAGGGCCCCAGAUUUUGCUGGCCUGGCCCUGCGAGCGUGGUAGAUAUCUGCCUCAUAUGGUCACGCGUCUCCGGCAUUGAACAUGCACAGGCGUCGAAGACACGUCACGAGCAGUCCCCUUGGCCGGCGAGCCGCUUCAAUGUCAACGUCAAUGAGAGGUCACGUCCGCUCUUUAGUAGGGAGCGGUCGUUCUACAACGACAUGAAUGAGAGCAGUUGGCUUCGUGCGGGAAGCGUGCACAGAAAGAGGGGGGGGGGGGGUGAACGAGGAACGUGGAUCGGUAAGUGCUCCCACGCUUCCCUUUCAUUUUUGUCUCCGGUUUACGUAAGCUUUUCGUAAGAAUUUUACGUAGCUCGGGCCAGAGUGCCACGCACAUUAGAUGUGGCACUUAUUAUUUGUUUUUUUAGGAUUCUAUGUUCGUUUCUAAUACGUUAGACUAGACCACAUGUAAACGUGCAAGUCUACAACACGAGCCCAACUAAUAAGCCCCGCAUAUAUACAUGCAAGCACACUUGGGGUUACCGACUGUUGGAUGGACUCCCCGCCAGGUUUCCUCAUGACCAGUGUGAUGGCUGAUCGUGUUGGUGCCAUUGUUGUUGAAUAAAGCUCAUAGUUUCCCGCAACAAAAAAAAAUAAUAAGCCCCGCAUAUAUACACCGAUCCUGCACCCGUCGAUCUCAUCAAUUUGCCUUACUAGUAGUACCCCAGUUUACCCUAAAAGUUCCAAGGAAAGCAGUACUCCAGCGCCGCCAUGCACGAGCACGACGAGGCGGCCACCACAAGGGCGAAGACGUGCACACCGUACCUGCCGGACGAGCUGGCGUCGGAGAUCCUGGCCCGGCUCCCCGUGGAGCCGCUGCUCCGAUUCAGGUCCGUCUGCAAGGCCUGGCGCGGCGUCAUCGACGAGAGCUCCUUCCCCCGCGAGCACCUCCGCUUCCAGACCUCGUCCCUGCUCGUCGCGCCGUGGCUCGGGGAGAAGGACAACGACAGUCCCCUCCCUUCUUCAACCGAAGAGCUGACCGCUGCCGGUCUGUACCAGUGGGACGGGAAGCAGCAGGGCGUCGCCACGCUCCUGCACGCCAUGCCCGGCUGCCGCUCCAAGAAGGAGGAGUUGCACAGCAUGGCGCAUUGCGAUGGGCUGGCGCUGUUGCCCAGCGACGAUGCGGUGCGCGUAGCCAACCCGGCCACCCGGCGCAGCGUCACGCUUCCCCCGACCCCUAAUUGCUUCGACGGCCCUCAGGCUUUCGGUCUUGGCCACGACCCUCGCUCCAACGCUUACAAGGUUGCUUGCUUCUACGGUUACCAUGAUCUUGACGUACGCGCACCGGGUAGCCACCACGGCUAUACUGCCAAGAUGGGGGUGUUCACCAUAGGGAAAGACCUUUGUUGGCGUGACACGGCGGCAGCGCCGCCUCCUCAUCAAGUCAUGCGAGGGCGAACGGCGACCUUCUUCAAGGGGUCCUUGCUCUGGACACUCAAGGUCAAGGAGGGGGUUCUGGACAGCGCGCCAGUCGCCCCAGGCUUCGUCCGCUUCAGGUUAGAGGAUGAGUCGUUCAGCAUGGUACCGGCGCCUCCUUGCACCCCGAGGUUGAACUACAAGGCGUCCAAUUUAACUGAGGUCCGGGGAGAGCUGUGCGUGUGCGCACGUCGGUCAGUAGCGGUUCAUCACGCGGUUUACGAGAUGUGGGUGUGCGCUGAUCUAGAAGAUGGCGCCAAUCCGCCACGAUGGGAUAUGCGCCAUGUUGUCACCGGGGCCUUCUUAUUCCGAUCUUUUAUUCCCAAGAUCACGACUGCCGACGCCAUACUGUUCCAUUUUGAAGAAAAGUAUCUUUACAACUGCCAUCUACAAAAUCCAACAUUUAAUUUUGAUGAUGUGAUUGAAAUGGAGGGCUUGAGGUAUCAUCACCUCGACACCGAUACAUUUGUCGAAUACACAAAAAAAAUUAUUGCUGGCCUUCAUGUGAUCCCCUAUGUUCCAAGCCUUGUUCGGAUCUAGGUUUCAGUAAAUUUAUUUAUGUUAAUUAGUGUUAUCGAACAUGAAGGUGCAUUCAAAUUUUGUCGUUCUGUUAUUAAAAGGGGUUGAGGCAGGUCCCAUACCCUUUAGUCCCGGUUGGUGUCUCCAACCGGGACUAAAUGUUAUGAAAGAAAGCAGUACAAAUUUGAGAUCAAUGAGAGAAGGUGUUUGAUGAUGAAUAGAGCUACUUAGAGGAAUCCAACGGUUUUAGAAUUUAAUAGAAAUGAGGUUGGUAUCAAUUUGAGCCAGUGUGUAAAUUUGUAGCUCAUUUCAAGAAAAUUUGCAAUGUAAAUUUUUCAAACCCUAGAAAUGAACUGAAAUGGUCUUGACAAGUUUUGGUCAAGUUAACUUGUUUUCCAACUUGUGGCAUUUGAUGGGGGUGAUGCUCAUGACCAUCUGGCAAUGUGAUAUAAAUUUGAGAUCAAUGGGAGAAAGUUGCCAAUGUAACUUUGUCAAACCCUACAGAUGUGCAGAAUUAGUUUUGGCAUACUUUGACCAAGCUAAUUUGUUAUCCUUGAUGAACCACUUGGCCUAGAUGAAUAUUUAGACCACUUUAGUAGGUGUACCAAGUUUGAGCUUAUCUGGACAUGUUUAGCAAUGUAAAGUUGCUCAAACUAGAAAACGGACAGAGAUGGUUUUGAGGGAAUUUGAUGAUGUUAUCUUGUUCUCCAACACACGAGACUUGGCAAGAUCAUCAAAUAUGGCAUUUGUGAUAUGAUAGAAUUUUCUUGGAAUUUAUGGUGAAUAUUUCCUUUGUAAAUAUUUCAAAAACUUGAAAUAUCCAGAAAGGCUAAUUGAAGGGUUUGACUAAUAUUUUGAGCUAUGUAAAAGAGAGAGUCACUGGAGGUAGAAUUAAUAUGACUAGGGUGGAGCAACUGUCCAAUGAAAGUGAAGUUAGAGAUUGGCUCUGUGAUUAAGCAGAAGUGUAUUGAAGCCCGUCAUACGUUAGGGCAGAGCUGGAGAGAAGAGGCUAUUUUGUGUUGUUUUACCUUUGUCAGUGUGAUGGAAUAUGAGCAUGUUCUGGUAACCCAAGACACUAUCUCUUUGGAUUUGAAAUGGUGCUGUUCAGAAUGAAGCAAAGCAUUGACCUACCCCGGAAGGAAGGAAAAAAAGGUGAGGCUUGACCUAAAGGCCUUUCUUUCUCAUCUGGUUUUCCUUGCACAAACGCAAAGAUGCGCACUUCUCCGACGUACUCAAAAAAUGAAAGAAAGAAAUCAUCGCAUUGAACUUGUGGGAACAGCUGCGUACGCUCUGGAGGUGGACUGGCCUUCAGGGUUCAGAGUCGAGACGGAGAGAGGGAGAACGAAGGAAAGAAAAGGCAAAGGCCGGUCGAUUGAAGGGGCGCCUUUCCAACCGAGAGCUGCGGUGCGGCAGCGGAAGGAGCCGUACGUACAGUCGAGGCCUUGUCCACGGAAGGACGCCGUUACGAGGGCGCGCCGCGGAACCCGCGAAACGCAUUCCGCGUGCCAAGAAUCCAGCCGGGGCAUGGGACGUACGCACGCCGUCUUCCUUCCCCGCCCGUUGAAAACCAAGGAGUCCUGCACCUUCUCUUCUCCGAGGAGUCCCACACAACGGUUUAAAAAUACCAUUACUCUCCGUCAUCCAUAUUACCACUUGCCACAGCUUUGGUAUAAUAACAAAUUUGUUUUUUGUUCUUUUUUUUGAAACUUUAAAAUAUGAUUUGAGCAGUACCUUGAUCACUUCCAUCAACCAAAUUGCAGGAUGGCUCAUACGGGCAGAGUGAUUAUAAGUAGUAGUACUGGCACCUUUUCUCUUCGUCGGAGGUGACAUCGGGCACAUUAGGGAAGGGAGCUCACCCGUGGAACAUCUGAAUAUCACUAUACUAUAUCCAUGGUUGAAAGAUAACCACAAGAACAGAAGAACCUGCAACCAUGUACACCAGUCAACAAAAAUAUCAGGAUCUCUAAAAUCGCAAGGCACCAUAAAUUACAGGACCUUGAAGUCUCUACCUCCACGCGCCGCUAAAUUAGACACGAGUCACUGCUAGUCGCUUUACAGAGUUCAGUAGUCCGUUGGUCGACGCGUUUGGACCGGAUGUGCUCAAACCACCCAAUGGAUGGAAAUUGGCAUGACUGCCCUUGAAAAGUUCAUCAAUUUUCAAGCUCGCUUGUGUUACUUCAGAAGUGCUAGAGCCACUUAA